GGGAAUGUGGCUCAGUGGUAGAGCUUCUGCUUCGCAUGCAGAAGAUCCCAGGUUCGAUCCCCACCAUCUCCA